ACAGCAGUAGCCGCGGUAAUACGUAGGUCCCGAGCGUUGUCCGGAUUUAUUGGGCGUAAAGGGAGCGCAGGCGGUUUAGUAAGUCUGAAGUUAAAGGCAUUGGCUCAACCAAUGUAUGCUUUGGAAACUGGGAAACUUGAGUGCAGAAGAGGAGAGUGGAAUUCCACGUGUAGCGGUGAAAUGCGUAGAGAUGUGGAGGAACACCAGUGGCGAAGGCAGCCACCUGGUCCACUUCUGACGCUGAGGCGCGAAAGCGUGGGGAGCAAACCGGAUUAGAUACCCCCGUAGUCCCUGUCUCUUAUACA
rnacentral:rRNA from 1 species